rnacentral:rRNA from 1 species
UGGGGAAUCUUCGGCAAUGGGGGCAACCCUGACCGAGCAACGGCCGCGUGAGUGAAGAAGGUUUUCGGAUCGUAAAGCUCUGUUGUAAGAGAAGAACGAGUGUGAGAGUGGAAAGUUCACACUGUGACGGUAACUUACCAGAAAGGGACGGCUAACUACGUGCCAGCAGCCGCGGUAAUACGUAGGUCCCGAGCGUUAUCCGGAUUUAUUGGGCGUAAAGCGAGCGCAGGCGGUUAGAUAAGUCUGAAGUUAAAGGCUGUGGCUUAACCAUAGUACGCUUUGGAAACUGUUUAACUUGAGUGCAGAAGGGGAGAGUGGAAUUCCAUGUGUAGCGGUGAAAUGCGUAGAUAUAUGGAGGAACACCGGUGGCGAAAGCGGCUCUCUGGUCUGUAACUGACGCUGAGGCUCGAAAGCGUGGGGAGCAAACAGGAUUAGAUACCCUGGUAGUCCACGCCGUAAACGAUGAGUGCUAGGUGUUGGGUCCUUUCCGGGACUCAGUGCCGCAGCUAACGCAUUAAGCGCUCCGCCUGGGGAGUACGGCCGCAAGGUUG